rnacentral:misc_RNA from 1 species
AUAAUAAGGUAUACCGUGCUUCACAACAAAGCAGUAUCCCUUGCCAAUGUACACGGUCUCUUAGCCGUAAUUGGAGAAUAAAAAGCACACUCAAUCAAAUUUACACUUUGUUUCCCAAUUUCUUUGGACAUCUGAUUUUUAGACUAGUAUGGGAAAAAUUACCGUUAUUACAAAGAAAAAGUACAUUAAGCUAGCCUAAACCAAUUAAAUUGGCACUUCCAAAAUUCACAAAUUAAACAAAAUACCAGCACUAAUUCAAAGAGAGUAAUUGAAAGCUUACAAUCAGAUAGGUAUGAAUUGCUAAUACAAGAAUUCCUCAACUGAAGAGGCAUUGUCACUUGAAUUUAUAAUAUGGCCUGAUAUCAGAAUGAAAAACUAAUAUUCAGACGGCACAAACCAUAUUAGUAGCUUUAUACAUGCAACCCUAAGCUUGUUCCUUGAAUGUGGCAGCUACAAUAUAACACUACCAACGCCACUUUGCCCCAAGAGGCACAGAAUUAGAUCCUGAUAUAACACUACCAAGGCCUCUUUACACCAAGAGGCACAGUAUUAGAUCCUGAAAUUAAUGCACGAUUGCCAAAGCCUCCUCGUCCUCCUCUAGAACGGAAGUUACCCCCAGAACCUCCUAGAGCGCCACCUGACCGAGCCAAAGCAGACAAUGCUGGAGAGACAAUCUGCCUUGCUUCCUGUAAAAUCUUGAUAAGAUCCCGAGCAAACUUUGCAUUUGCAUGGGUGAAAAAGGUAAAUGCAGUUCCCCUAGCCCCUGCACGACCAGUUCGACCAAUCCUGUGGACAUAAUCCUCA